UUCCGGUUGACCCUGCCGGACCCCACUGCUAUCGGGGUGGGACUUAGGCAUGCAAGUUUGUGUCUCCAAGUUACGGUAAAGACGCAGCGGACCGCUCAGUAACACGUAGUUAACCUGCCCUCGGGAUGGAGAUAACCCCGGGAAACUGGGGGUAAUAUCUAAUAUGUGAGAAGGCCUGGAAUGGUUUCUCGCCUAAAUGAUAUGGAACCAUACUUUCAGCAUCGCCCGAGGAUGGGACUGCGGCCGAUCAGGUAGUUGGUGAGGUAAUGGCCCACCAAGCCUAUAACCGGUACGGGCCGUGAGAGCGGAAGCCCGGAGAUGGGCACUGAGAUAAGGGCCCAGGCCCUACGGGGCGCAGCAGCUACGAAACCUCCGCAAUGCGCGCAAGCGUGACGGGGCUACCCCGAGUGCCAUCCGCUGAGGGUGGCUUUUCUUUGGUGUAAUGAGCCAGUGGAAUAAGAGGAGGGCAAGACUGGUGUCAGCCGCCGCGGUAAUACCAGCUCCUCAAGUGGUGGGGAUGAUUAUUUGGCCUAAAGCGUCCGUAGCCUGCUCGGUAAGUCCUCCGUUAAAUCCAACGACCCAAUCGUUGGGCCGCGGGGGAAACUGCAGAGCUUGGGGGCGGAAGAAGUCGACGGUACUCUUGGGGUAGGGGUGAAAUCCAGUAAUCCCAAGAGGACCACCAGUGGCGAAGGCGGUCGACUAGGACGCGCCCGACGGUGAGGGACGAAAGCUGGGGGAGCGAUUCGGAUUAGAUACCCGAGUAGUCCCAGCUGUAAACGAUGCAAGCUAGUGUUAGCAUGACUACGAGUCAUGCUAGUGCCGCAAGGAAGCUGUUAAGCCUGCCGCUUGGAAGUACGGUCGCAGACUGAAACUUUAAGGAAUUUGGCGGGGGGAGCACACAAGGGUGAAGCUUGCGUUCAAUUGGACUCAACGC
rnacentral:rRNA from 1 species